rnacentral:rRNA from 1 species
GUAAGCUACUAAGAGCGAACGGUGGAUGCCUUGGCUAGUAGAGGCGAUGAAAGACGUGCCAGGCUGCGAUAAGUCUCGGGGAGCCGUCAAGGGGCUUUGAUCCGGGAAUUUCUGAAUGGGGCAACCCAAUACAUAGCGAUAUGUGUUACCAUUAAUGGAGCCAACGCGGGGAACUGAAACAUCUAAGUACCCGCAGGAAAAGAAAUCAAUAGAGAUUACGCUAGUAGCGGCGAGCGAACGCGUAAGAGGGCAAACCACUAGUUUACUAGUGGGGUUGUAGGACCGCAACAUAGACUAGGAUCUGAUAAUAGAACAAUCUGGAAAGGUUAGGCAUAGAGGGUGAUACUCCCGUAUAUGAAAUCACAUCCUUACUUAGCGGUAUCCUGAGUAGGACGGGACACGUGAAAUCCUGUCUGAAGCCGGGUCGACCACGAUCCAACCCUAAAUACUACUACUAGACCGAUAGCGUACAAGUACCGUGAGGGAAAGGUGAAAAGAACGGCGGUGAGCCGAGUGAAAUAGAACCUGAAACCGUUUGCUUACAAUCAUUCAGAGCACUAUGCUAUACUCUUUAAAAUUAAUCCAGCUUGGCUUUUUAGCCCUUUUUUAUGAAACUGCGACUGCGGCAGCCGAAUCUGGCUAGCCUUGCCUUGUUUCAUAAAAAAUCAUCUAAAAAUCCUGCGUAUUUGAAAUUCUAAAUUUUGAUCUGAUAAAAUUUAAUCAUAAAUGACACAAACAAAAUUUUAUGGUCUAAAUUUAGAGAUAAUGAUUAACGAUUAGUUUUAAUGAGUAUAGCAGUGUGAUGGACUGCCUUUUGCAUAAUGAGCCUGCGAGUUGUGGUGUCUGGCGAGGUUAAGGAAACCCGGAGCCGUAGCGAAAGCGAGUCUUAAUAGGGCAAUUAGUCAGAUGCUGCAGACCCGAAACGAUGUGAUCUAUCCAUGAGCAGGUUGAAGCCGGUGUAAGAGCCGGUGGAGGACCCAACCGACGGCCGUUGAAAAGGCUCCGGAUGACUUGUGGAUAGGGGUGAAAGGCCAAUCAAACAUCGUGAUAGCUGGUUCUCUCCGAAAUAUAUUGAGGUAUAGCGUCGUGUAGUAGUUAUAAGGGGUAGAGCACUGAAUGGGCUAGGGCAUACACCAAUGUACCAAACCCUAUCAAACUCCGAAUACUUAUAGCGUAACCACGGCAGUCAGGCGGCGAGUGAUAAAAUCCGUCGUCAAGAGGGAAACAACCCGGACUAACAGCUAAGGUCCCCAAAUCUCAUUUAAGUGGAAAACGAUGUGAAGUUACUGAAACAACCAGGAGGUUGGCUUAGAAGCAGCCAUCCUUUAAAGAUAGCGUAAUAGCUCACUGGUCUAGUGAUUUUGCGCGGAAAAUAUAACGGGGCUAAAAUGAGUACCGAAGCUUUAGACUUGCACUUAAUCAUUUAUACUAGCUCGUCUUUUGGCGAUAAAUUAAUGAGUUUGAUUUUUUCUCAAUCGAUGGGCUAAAAGCCUUAUCUCAAUCGAAAAAAUCUUCACAACAUUAAUUUCUCAUCCAAAAUACUUCGCUUUCUAUAUUCAAAUUUUAAAUAUUUCGAACUUUGUUAAUUUUAAAAUCCCAACUUAGAUAUUUAAAAUUUAAUAACCAAGAAGCGAAGAAAGACAAACAAAACUUUAAGAUAUCGGAUAAAUUCUUAAAUAUCUUAAGUUUUAAAUUUGAACAAAGCCGCAAGAAAAGUAUAAAUCAUUAAGUGCAAGUGGUAGGAGAGCGUUCCAAUCAGCGUUGAAGCCGUACCGGUAAGGAGCGGUGGAGCGGUUGGAAGUGAGCAUGCAGGCAUGAGUAGCGAUAAAAUACGUGAGAAUCGUAUUCGCCGUAAACCCAAGGUUUCCUACGCGAUGCUCGUCAUCGUAGGGUUAGUCGGGUCCUAAGCAAAGUCCGAAAGGGGUAUGCGAUGGAAAAUCGGUUAAUAUUCCGAUACCGAUAUCAGUGUGCGACGGAAGGACGCUUAAAGUUAGUGGAGCUAGCGGAUGGAAGUGCUAGUCUAAGGAAGUAGGUUGAGUUAUAGGCAAAUCCGUAACUCUUUAUCCGAGAUCUGAAAGGCUUCUGACGCUCUUCGGAGUAGAUGAAGAAUCCAUGAUACUAUCGAGCCGAGAAAAGUUUCUAAGUUUAGCUGAUAUCGCCCGUACCGUAAACCGACACAGGUGGGUGGGAUGAGUAUUCUAAGGCGCGUGGAAGAACUCUCUUUAAGGAACUCUGCAAAAUAGCACCGUAUCUUCGGUAUAAGGUGUGCCUAGCUUCGUUAAGAAUUUACUUCGUAAGCGAAGAAGGUUACAACAAAGAGUCCCUCCCGACUGUUUACCAUAAACACAGCACUCUGCUAACUCGUAAGAGGAUGUAUAGGGUGUGACGCCUGCCCGGUGCUCGAAGGUUAAUUGAUGAUGUUAGCUUAUGCAAAGCAUCUGAUCGAAGCCCGAGUAAACGGCGGCCGUAACUAUAACGGUCCUAAGGUAGCGAAAUUCCUUGUCGGUUAAAUACCGACCUGCAUGAAUGGCGUAACGAGAUGGGAGCUGUCUCAAAGAGGGAUCCAGUGAAAUUGUAGUGGAGGUGAAAAUUCCUCCUACCCGCGGCAAGACGGAAAGACCCCGUGGACCUUUACUAUAGCUUGACACUGCUACUUGGAUAAAGAUGCGCAGGAUAGGUGGGAGGCUUUGAGUCGUAGAUCUUGGUUUACGAUGAGCCAUUGUUGAGAUACCACUCUUCUUUAUUCGGGUAGCUAACUAGCCUAAGUUAUCCUUAGGUAGGACAAUGUCUGGUGGGUAGUUUGACUGGGGCGGUCGCCUCCCAAAAUGUAACGGAGGCUUACAAAGGUUGGCUCAAAGCGGUUGGAAAUCGCUUGUAGAGUAUAAAGGCAAAAGCCAGCUUAACUGCGAGACAUACACGUCGAGCAGAGACGAAAGUCGGUCUUAGUGAUCCGGUGGUUCUGUGUGGAAGGGCCAUCGCUCAAAGGAUAAAAGGUACCCCGGGGAUAACAGGCUGAUCUCCCCCAAGAGCUCACAUCGACGGGGAGGUUUGGCACCUCGAUGUCGGCUCAUCGCAUCCUGGGGCUGUAGUCGGUCCCAAGGGUUGGGCUGUUCGCCCAUUAAAGCGGUACGCGAGCUGGGUUCAGAACGUCGUGAGACAGUUCGGUCCCUAUCUGCCGUGGGCGUAAGAAGAUUGAGGAGAGUUGACCCUAGUACGAGAGGACCGGGUUGAACCGACCACUGGUGUACCGGUUGUUCUGCCAAGAGCACCGCCGGGUAGCUAAGUCGGGAUGCGAUAAGAGCUGAAAGCAUCUAAGCUCGAAGCCGACUCCAAGAUGAAUCUUCUUUUAAGAGCUCUAGUAGACUACUAGUUUGAUAGGCCGGAUGUGUAAUGGAUGAAAGUCCUUUAGCUGACCGGUACUAAUAGCUCGUUUGCUUAUCUUU